ensembl:processed_transcript 4931415C17Rik RIKEN cDNA 4931415C17 gene
AGUCCUGGAAACGGGGAUACUGAGAUGGAGAGGCUUGAGCGCUGCCGCAAAGGAAAAAUCAAACGCAGACACGAGAAAUUCUGUGCUGUCUGGGACGCAGGAGGAGGAGAGUCCUCGUCACUGGGAGCCCAGCUCCGCCGCUCCUGCCCGGAUGCUCGGUGGUCUGCAGAAAGCUCCCUUCUUAGUCGCUGACUCAGGACUAUGAUGGCAGUGGCACUCAGAGGUGGCUUAAUGGAGAGCAUACCUUUAUUCGUCUUUUGCUCGCAGAUCUCUUAGCCACCCUUCCCUGCCCGCUCUGUGAUAUACAGAAUGCGGACACACUCACUCCCUGUACAAAUGGUACCUGCUGGAGCUCAGCCAGUUGAAGCUAACGAUGGAAACUGCAAGAGGAGACUCUCGGCUUCAGCCUGGAAUUUGACUACGACUCUUAACAAGCCGAGACUCUCAACACCUCAGCUCUCAGCCCAUUCUUAGCUCCAGCCUAUUUUGUACCACCCACACAGAUGAUGCUCCAUCAGAAGGUCUAGAAUAAGUCCAUAGUGACCAACGUCAGUCAUUCCUGGUGUUUCUUCCACCCCGGGGCCAGUAGCUAACCUUCAGGCUACACCAGAAGAGAGGGAGACUCGCCUGCGCCUUUUGGAACCUAAGGUGUUGCACCUGGGCGCACCCUACCUGAGGAGAUUCAACUAUGCAUCAUUCUGCCUGCUUCAUACAGGUGGCUGAGGCUGGAGGCGGAUGCUCGGAGCACUGAUCCAUCCAUUAGCUGGCCUGUGCUGCCCUCUGCCGGCCAGUGGGGUUUAACAGCCACCCUAAGCCGAGAGACCUGGAAUUGGAGCCAGCUGACUGCUUUGAGAGAAAACCUGUUAGGAAUGGACUUUUGAGGGCGUUCCCUUUCCUGUGCAAGUGAGUUUUGGUCCUACAGGGGAAGGGUAAAGCUGGGAAAGUGGCUUGUUUUCAUAAAGUCUGUGAGGCGCUUCCACUCAGGUGCCGAAAGGGAGAUCAGGAGGUAGCAGUGUUCCGAGAAGCCCUCUAACCAACGAUUUCCAAUCUUCCCACCGGUGGCAAAACUCCCAGAGGGCACAGUUUCAAGAUUCAGUUUUUCCACCUUUAAAACGGAGACGAAUGUGACCUUGCAGGAUUUUGAGAGGGUGAGGAUUUCUGUAAAGUGCCAGUGAGGUGUGCAAGCCCUGUCCCUGUGUAAGUGUAGCUGCCAAGCCUCAUCAAAGAAGGUUCUCUUUACACCUAACAGAGACCGUCCCAGAAGACAGCUCGAUACAAUGCAAGAUCACCAGAUCCCAACAGAUACAUCUGCAUCACAGCUCCUGCAUCCACGGCCGAGGGAACUUGGAGGAAGUAGGCGUGGGAAGAUUGUAAGAGCCCGUAUACCAAGAAGUCUGCCGUGAGCAUCUCUCCUGGAAAUGGCUGUAUAAACUAGACUGAAGCAGUGGCAUAUCUGAUGGACAUGUUAACAUGGAAGGGAGAGGUUUUCUUGGGGUUCCACCCCUAGACAAAGACCUACAGGCCACUAGUGGCUGCCGGGAGAGAGAGUUAGCUACUCCCAGAGAUGGACCCAUUUAUUUGUUGCACAAUGCAGAGUGGUCAGCCUUGAAACCAUAUACAGCAGCAAAAGGAACAGGCUUAGCAGGUUGUAUUUACAUAUAAUUGUGAAUACACAUACAUAAUAAUCUAUAGAUGUAUGUGAAAAUAAUUUUUAAAGAAGGGUACUUAACUUGAGCACUGGGGCUUGAGAGGGACUGGAGGACAGAGAUCUGGCAGGGGCUGAAAGAAAGUGAGGGGAGUGAUGUAAUUCUAUUGUUAAAAUGUAUUUUUUUAAGUGCCUGUGAGGGGCUGGAGACAUGGCUCAGCAGUUAAGAAUGCUGAAUUCUCCUGCAGAUGACUGGGUUCAGUUCUGAACACUCGCAUGCCAGCUCACAACCAUCUAUCUGUAACUCCACAUCCAGGGAUCUGACCCUUCUGACCUCAGUGGCUCCCAGAUGCCCAAAGUACACACACAUACACAUACAAAUAGAAUCGGUAUAUAAUUAAGAGUGCCUGCAGACAUCUAGAAAUGGCAGCUGUGAAGAAGGACAUGUAAUUUUCACUAAAUGUCAGGAUGAGAAAUUUAUCAAGAUUCUGUUACAGGUUUUCAGGGUCAAAGCCUGGGUGCUGAAAGUCUAAACUUGACUGUUUAUGCACAGUAUGUUUGUGCUGUGCCCUGUAUGUCAAUUAAAGAUACAAGCAAUAAUAAAAAUCAG